GACGAACGCUGGCGGCGUGCUUAACACAUGCAAGUCGAACGAAGUGGCGAACGGGUGAGUAACGCGUAAUCACCCUGCCCUUCAGAGGGGGACAACAGUUGGAAACGACUGCUAAUACCGCAUACUGAAGGAGGGGAUUGCGUUUGAUUAGCUAGUUGGAGGGGUAACGGCCCACCAAGGCGAGGAUCAGUAGCCGGUCUGAGAGGAGGACGGGCCACAUUGGGACUGGUACACGGCCCAGACUCCUACGGGAGGCAGCAUUGGGGAAUCUUCCGAAAUGGACGAAAGCCUGAUCCAGCCAUGCCGCGUGUGUGAAGAAGGUCUUCGGAUUGUAAAGCACGUUAAGUUGGGAGGCGUUACCAACAGAAUAAGCACCGGCUAACUUCGUGCCAGCAGCCGCGGUAAUUC
rnacentral:rRNA from 1 species